rnacentral:pre_miRNA from 1 species
AGGGGUAGUGCAGGAUCCUGGCUGUGUCCCCUGUUGCCCUGGGCUCCGGGGCCUGCACUGCUGGAAUCCUGCUCCCGGUGCCGCGCAGCCCCCU